GGUUAAGCGACUAAGCGUACACGGUGGAUGCCCUGGCAGUCAGAGGCGAUGAAGGACGUGCUAAUCUGCGAAAAGCGUCGGUAAGGUGAUAUGAACCGUUAUAGCCGGCGAUGUCCGAAUGGGGAAACCCAGUGUGAUUCGUCACACUAUCGUUAACUGAAUACAUAGGUUAACGAGGCGAACCGGGGGAACUGAAACAUCUAAGUACCCCGAGGAAAAGAAAUCAACCGAGAUUCCCCCAGUAGCGGCGAGCGAACGGGGAGCAGCCCAGAGUUUGAAUCAGCUUGUGUGUUAGUGGAACGGUCUGGAAAGUCCGACGGUACAGGGUGAUAGUCCCGUACACCAAAAUGCACAGGCUGUGAACUCGAAGAGUAGGGCGGGACACGUGGUAUCCUGUCUGAAUAUGGGGGGACCAUCCUCCAAGGCUAAAUACUCCUGACUGACCGAUAGUGAACCAGUACCGUGAGGGAAAGGCGAAAAGAACCCCGGCGAGGGGAGUGAAAAAGAACCUGAAACCGUGUACGUACAAGCAGUGGGAGCACCUUCGGGUGUGACUGCGUACCUUUUGUAUAAUGGGUCAGCGACUUAUAUUCUGUAGCAAGGUUAACCGUAUAGGGGAGCCGCAGGGAAACCGAGUCUUAACUGGGCGUUAAGUUGCAGGGUAUAGACCCGAAACCCGGUGAUCUAGCCAUGGGCAGGUUGAAGGUUGGGUAACACUAACUGGAGGACCGAACCGACUAAUGUUGAAAAAUUAGCGGAUGACUUGUGGCUGGGGGUGAAAGGCCAAUCAAACCGGGAGAUAGCUGGUUCUCCCCGAAAGCUAUUUAGGUAGCGCCUCGUGAAUUCAUCUUCGGGGGUAGAGCACUGUUUCGGCUAGGGGGUCAUCCCGACUUACCAACCCGAUGCAAACUACGAAUACCGAAGAAUGUUAUCACGGGAGACACACGGCGGGUGCUAACGUCCGUCGUGAAGAGGGAAACAACCCAGACCGCCAGCUAAGGUCCCAAAGUCAUGGUUAAGUGGGAAACGAUGUGGGAAGGCACAGACAGCCAGGAUGUUGGCUUAGAAGCAGCCAUCAUUUAAAGAAAGCGUAAUAGCUCACUGGUCGAGUCGGCCUGCGCGGAAGAUGUAACGGGGCUAAACCAUGCACCGAAGCUGCGGCAGCGACACUAUGUGUUGUUGGGUAGGGGAGCGUUCUGUAAGCCUGCGAAGGUGACCUGUGAGGGUUGCUGGAGGUAUCAGAAGUGCGAAUGCUGACAUAAGUAACGAUAAAGCGGGUGAAAAGCCCGCUCGCCGGAAGACCAAGGGUUCCUGUCCAACGUUAAUCGGGGCAGGGUGAGUCGACCCCUAAGGCGAGGCCGAAAGGCGUAGUCGAUGGGAAACAGGUUAAUAUUCCUGUACUUGGUGUUACUGCGAAGGGGGGACGGAGAAGGCUAUGUUAGCCGGGCGACGGUUGUCCCGGUUUAAGCAUGUAGGCUGAUUAUCCAGGCAAAUCCGGAUAAUCAAGGCUGAGGUGUGAUGACGAGGCACUACGGUGCUGAAGUAACAAAUGCCCUGCUUCCAGGAAAAGCCUCUAAGCAUCAGGUAACAUCAAAUCGUACCCCAAACCGACACAGGUGGUCAGGUAGAGAAUACCAAGGCGCUUGAGAGAACUCGGGUGAAGGAACUAGGCAAAAUGGUGCCGUAACUUCGGGAGAAGGCACGCUGGUGUGUAGGUGAAGUCCCUGCGGAUGGAGCUGAGACCAGUCGAAGAUACCAGCUGGCUGCAACUGUUUAUUAAAAACACAGCACUGUGCAAACACGAAAGUGGACGUAUACGGUGUGACGCCUGCCCGGUGCCGGAAGGUUAAUUGAUGGGGUUAUCCGUAAGGAGAAGCUCUUGAUCGAAGCCCCGGUAAACGGCGGCCGUAACUAUAACGGUCCUAAGGUAGCGAAAUUCCUUGUCGGGUAAGUUCCGACCUGCACGAAUGGCGUAAUGAUGGCCAGGCUGUCUCCACCCGAGACUCAGUGAAAUUGAACUCGCUGUGAAGAUGCAGUGUACCCGCGGCAAGACGGAAAGACCCCGUGAACCUUUACUAUAGCUUGACACUGAACAUUGAGCCUUGAUGUGUAGGAUAGGUGGGAGGCUUUGAAGCGUGGACGCCAGUCUGCGUGGAGCCAACCUUGAAAUACCACCCUUUAAUGUUUGAUGUUCUAACGUUGGCCCCUUACCGGGGUUGCGGACAGUGUCUGGUGGGUAGUUUGACUGGGGCGGUCUCCUCCCAAAGCGUAACGGAGGAGCACGAAGGUUAGCUAAUCCUGGUCGGACAUCAGGAGGUUAGUGCAAUGGCAUAAGCUAGCUUGACUGCGAGCGUGACGGCGCGAGCAGGUGCGAAAGCAGGUCAUAGUGAUCCGGUGGUUCUGAAUGGAAGGGCCAUCGCUCAACGGAUAAAAGGUACUCCGGGGAUAACAGGCUGAUACCGCCCAAGAGUUCAUAUCGACGGCGGUGUUUGGCACCUCGAUGUCGGCUCAUCACAUCCUGGGGCUGAAGUAGGUCCCAAGGGUAUGGCUGUUCGCCAUUUAAAGUGGUACGCGAGCUGGGUUUAGAACGUCGUGAGACAGUUCGGUCCCUAUCUGCCGUGGGCGCUGGAGAAUUGAGGGGGGCUGCUCCUAGUACGAGAGGACCGGAGUGGACGCAUCACUGGUGUUCGGGUUGUCAUGCCAAUGGCACUGCCCGGUAGCUAAAUGCGGAAGAGAUAAGUGCUGAAAGCAUCUAAGCACGAAACUUGCCCCGAGAUGAGUUCUCCCUGAGACUUUAAGUCUCCUGAAGGAACGUUGAAGACGACGACGUUGAUAGGCCGGGUGUGUAAGCGCAGCGAUGCGUUGAGCUAACCGGUACUAAUGAACCGUGAGGCUUAACCUU
rnacentral:rRNA from 1 species